GCUAAGGUAGCAUAAUCAUUUGUUAUUUAAUUGAUAACUGGGAUGAAAGGUUAAACUAGCUUAUUAAGUUUGUUUAAUUAGAGAGAAAUUUAAAGUUAAGGUAAGAAUUCUUUAAUUUUCUAGGGGACGAUAAGACCCUAGAAGCUUGACAAACAGUUUUUUAGUUUUAGGCGGCAGUUUGUUUUACUGGGGCGGUAAAAAUAAUUAAGCUAUUUAUAAUUUAAAGGAUCCUUAAAAUAAAGAAAGAGUGGGUAAGUUACUCUAGGGAUAA
rnacentral:rRNA from 1 species